GAUGAACGCUGGCGGCGUGCUUAACACAUGCAAGUCGAGCGAAGCACUAAAGCGGAUUUCUUCGGAUUGAAGGUUUAGUGACUGAGCGGCGGACGGGUGAGUAACGCGUGGGUAACCUGCCUCAUACAGGGGGAUAACAGUUGGAAACGGCUGCUAAUWCCGCAUAAGCGCACAGUACCGCAUGGUACGGUGUGAAAAACUCCGGUGGUAUGAGAUGGACCCGCGUCUGAUUAGGUAGUUGGUGGGGUAACGGCCUACCAAGCCGACGAUCAGUAGCCGACCUGAGAGGGUGACCGGCCACAUUGGGACUGAGACACGGCCCAAACUCCUACGGGAGGCAGCAGUGGGGAAUAUUGCACAAUGGGGGAAACCCUGAUGCAGCGACGCCGCGUGAGCGAAGAAGUAUUUCGGUAU
rnacentral:rRNA from 1 species